UUGAAAUAAACCUGAUGGGUUGUUGCUGGUUCUCUAGGGAACAUGUGCACGCCUUGUCAUCUUUAUAUCUCCACCUGUGCACUUUUUGUAGACCUUUCAGGUCUAUGUUGCUUCAUUUACCCCAAUGUAUGUUAAUAGAAUGUUGUGCCCUAUAUAAUAUAUA
rnacentral:misc_RNA from 1 species